rnacentral:rRNA from 1 species
GACGAACGCUGGCGGCGUGCUUAACACAUGCAAGUCGUACGGUAAGGCCCUUUCGGGGGUACACGAGUGGUGAACGGGUGAGUAACACGUGAGUAACCUGCCCACAACUUUGGGAUAACGCUAGGAAACUGGUGCUAAUACUGGAUAUGUGCUCCUGCUGCAUGGUGGGGGUUGGAAAGCUCCGGCGGUUGUGGAUGGACUCGCGGCCUAUCAGCUUGUUGGUGGGGUAGUGGCCUACCAAGGCGGCGACGGGUAGCCGGCCUGAGAGGGUGACCGGCCACAUUGGGACUGAGAUACGGCCCAGACUCCUACGGGAGGCAGCAGUGGGGAAUAUUGCACAAGGGGCGCAAGCCUGAUGCAGCAACGCCGCGUGCGGGAUGACGGCCUUCGGGUUGUAAACCGCUUUCAGCAGGGACGAAGCUUUUUGUGACGGUACCUGCAGAAGAAGCACCGGCUAACUACGUG